rnacentral:rRNA from 1 species
AUUGAACGCUGGCGGCAUGCUUUACACAUGCAAGUCGGACGGCAGCACAGAGACGCUUGCUUCUUGGGUGGCGAGUGGCGAACGGGUGAGUAAUAUAUCGGAACGUACCGAGUAAUGGGGGAUAACUAAUCGAAAGAUUAGCUAAUACCGCAUAUUCUCUGAGGAGGAAAGCAGGGGACCUUCGGGCCUUGCGUUAUUCGAGCGGCCGAUAUCUGAUUAGCUAGUUGGUGGGGUAAAGGCCUACCAAGGCGACGAUUAGUAGCGGGUCUGAGAGGAUGAUCCGCCACACUGGGACUGAGACACGGCCCAGACUCCUACGGGAGGCAGCAGUGGGGAAUUUUGGACAAUGGGCGCAAGCCUGAUCCAGCCAUGCCGCGUGUCUGAAGAAGGCCUUCGGGUUGUAAAGGACUUUUGUCAGGGAAGAAAAGGCUGUUGCUAAUACCGACAGCUGAUGACGGUACCUGAAGAAUAAGCACCGGCUAACUACGUG